AGGUGAAAAUUAGUUGCUUUUAUUUAUUGUUAAAACAACUUUUUGAAAUGGUUUAUAACCCUACAUACAUAAGAACGCUUUGAAUACCUGGGAAAAUAGCUACUACUUCAUGGGAAAACAUGCAAACCAACAUCACUGCCUGCACACUAGACUCUGCUUACUGAUUUCUGAUGGCAUCACAGAGAAGGAACAGCCACUCUGGCAAAUGGAGAAACAGCAGCAAAAUCCUUCAGUAAAGUUUUAAUUACUAAGGUUACACUGUUCAUUCCACUGAGCCUACAAUUUUCCUACAAUCACUUAUCUGUCUAUACAUUCUUACUUUCUACAGGACACAGAGCAAAGUGGUUCUGACAAACAAGAUAGCAAUUCACAUAUUUGUAAGACAAAUUCAGUAGAUAACAGUGAAGAAAAUGAGAACUACUGCAGUUAUAUCUAGUCCAGGUGUGAUGAAGCCAAGAUUCUUCUUUCAAUGCUAAGGAAUGAAAGCAGUCUUAGGAAUGAAAUUAAAUACGAGAGCUCUUUUCACUUCUCCAGGAGUGAUUCUAGCUCUUCCUGCAAAGAGCUGAGCUGCUCCCUUUCUCGGUCUUCCUUUUGUUUGAGUUCAUCCAGCACGGCCUGAAAUCUAUUCUUGAGAGCCAGGUUUUCGACUUUCAUAAUGAGAUCCUCCUGUCGUUUUGCCCUAUCCUGGGUCUCUUGUAGUUUGCCUUUCAUAUUAUCAAUCUGUUUCUGAAUUCCCAUAACCAGUUGGUUGGUCCCCUCAUUUUCUUGGUGCUGUUCAUCUGAUUCAUUCAGCUUCUCCUGUAGCUGUCUUUCCAGAUCUUCCUCAGUGUCAAUGAUGUUUAUAUCUUCUUCAUCUUGAUGCUGCGUCUCAUCUUCAUCUUCACUGCUGCUACUGAGGUCAUUGAAUAUCUCCCGAAGCUCAUCAUGUUCUAAUGAGUCAUGGCCCUGCCUGUGACCAGACAUUCCUGGAGAAGAUAUAUCAAGGCCUUGAUUUUCUGUUUCUUUUGUUUCAUCUUCAGCAAUUAUCUCCCAACGAGUACUCACAGCUUCAGCAUCUGUACUUAGCAACCGCUUCACUUCCUUCUCCACAUCUGGAGAUUCAAUAUACUUCUUCUUUGCUGUCUUCCGAAACCUUCUCUUUCUGACAUUUUUUAGAGGCAGAGUAAUUCCAUGGUUCCAUAUAAACUUCUUCUCUUUGUCCUUAUCCUUUUUCUUGCUUGCUUUGGGAUCAGUAGUAGCAACUGGUUCCUCCACAGGAGGAUAGAGAUCACCAUCAACUGUGGAGACAAGCAUCUGACAUAUAUCAGCUGUCUUGUAAAAAGUUUUUUUAUCAAUGGUUUUCAGGCUUUCCAUAACACAUGGCAGAUCUACCAAUUUGGAGGCCAAUGGAACCCGGUCCACUCUGACGAUUCCGUGACGUCCAUCAGGGUGUAACUCAAUUGUCAGUCUGUCCUUCAGAUUGACAUGACCAGACUGUACUGCCCGUCUCACAGUAGAGGCAUAUUCCGGAGGUAGCCGUAAAAUAAACUGGCUCUCCAGUUCGUGAGGAGCAUCAUCUUUGCUCUUACUCAUCUUUCCUUCUUUGAGACUCACUUCUCAACCACCACUUGUUGCACUUUAAGUUCCAGCUACUGACAACAGGUGGAGGCCAGUUUGUUAUGAACUGAAAUCCUUAAUUACAAAAGUUUUAAGCAGAAUAGGAGCUAAGCGUCUACUGUGAAUUAAGGCCCAAGUCUUUAUAAAUCUGCUGUGAUUGAAAUACCAGUCGUUAGGGACACUAAUCAAUUAAGUCCAUUUAAAACUAUUAGCUGCAAUUCAAGUUCCAACCUCUAGAUGCCGCUGCCGGACAAUGCAGACCGAGCUACCUAGCAGGAAAGCAAAUGGCGGCUUCUGCGAAAUGAUUUUCGACACAAAAAGUAAGGCCCAGCAGACACUCCCAUUUUACACUCUCUCCCGGAACAAAGGUAUUCAAAAAGCAGAACGCAGUGAGCUUUCUUCGCCUUGGGUACUUACAAUCCAGUGACGAUUAUAAGCCCAGCUUCUCCGGAUAGGAGCGAGCGGAAGAGGCAGCCACUCCGAGCAAGACGGCCAGGAGCCGAGCGUCUCCUUCUUUAUUCCUUUGUUCUUCCCAGGUCUUAGGAAAGUGAUCCGCUACCGAUUAUCAAUGAAAUGCCGACGGCGGGCAGUGCGAAAUCUCGCCGAGAUCCGCAGCGCCAGACUCGGCAGCUCCGCAGCUCGGGGGAUCUCAGUCCGGAGCUGCAGACCUAGCGGAGAAGAAAGCACUACGUCACACCGUGGGGCGGCUAUGAGUGACAGCACGAUUAAAGCGGAAGUCC
rnacentral:lncRNA from 1 species